CCAAUUAAUCAGCGCCUAAGCGCUUGGCAGCCUCCAAUCACCUACGAAUAGGUGUUAGAGGGUUAAACUAAGCGACAUUGGUCAAUAUCGGUCAAAGUCGGCCCAACUUGGACCUAAUAAGUCCAGCUGACUGUAAAUGACCCACCAGCUCAAAGGAGCCGGUUUGGCUAAAAGAUAAGUGCAUUUGUUCUCUUAGGGAGGAUUCCCUUUUAUAGAGUAUUUUUUCCUUGAUAGAUUGUUCCCAGCUUCGAUGUGGGAUGAUCAAACGUUUACUUCGUCGGUUCUUCCAUAUAUGUUUUUUGCAUCUCGUUCGUCCCCAAUUUUCUUCAUGGUCUGACUCCUCGCAUGCUCGACUCCGACUCCGACUCCUCUUCGCAUCUCCUUUAGUCUUUUACCACGCCAUCAAAGGAACAACAUCAAACUGAGCACCGUCAUACGACAAGUACCGAACCCAAUCAACAAUCAAUAAUCAGGUAAUUUGGAAAGGAUUUGAGGAGGAGAUUAGGUCGAAUCAAGGGUGAAGAAAGAUGAGGUCGAAUCGAGGGUGAAGAACCUGAAACAGAAAAUUGUUUAUGCUGGUCGUCGAUAAUUCAAUCAAUGGUCAAAGCAGUGAAAGUCAAAAUUAAAUGAUUUCAAGUCAGAAUUGGUGAUCAGAUACGAAUUAGUGAUCAAAAUUGAAUGUGAUAGUUUCAAGAUGAGGUCGAUUCGAAGAAAGUGCUGCUGUGUUGUUGUGCUCAAGGUGAUAAAUACGAAUGAGUGAUAAAGAUAAAUGUUGAAGGUGUAGCUGUGCAGGGUUCUAGAUGGGUGGGGCUUAUGAAUGUGAUCAGAUAUGAAGGUCUUGUUGUUCAAGGCUCAAACUUGUUUUGGAAUGAUGAAUUGUAUUUUUUGACUGUGAAGGACCUGUCAUCAUCUGUGCUAAUUUAUGGAUCAUGGUGUAUUUUACCUAAAAUUAACAAAUUACAAUUGUUGAUCUCUUUUGAUGUGCUAAAAUGUUAAAUUACGUGCAUACAAUUCA